ensembl:lncRNA
UGAAAGUGAAAACAUGGAGUAUGAUUUCAAGACUUGCUGCUAUCGAAUACAGAUCGCCCCGUGAUCAAUUUUAUAGAUUAUUAACGUCUAUUAAUACCUAAAGUUGGUUUAGAAAAGUAGUUUGAAGUGAUUUGUAAAAGUAUAUAGGGAACUUUUGUAAUUUUAAAAAGUGACGUUGCGUCUUGUAAAGGGGCAUUUUUCUGGAUCAGACCGGUCUUCAGCAAAUCACAUUUUGGGUAUACAAUGACGGAUUUAAUCGGGAAAAAGACCCAAUUGUGAUGUUUAUGUGACAUAUAGGAGUGCCAAGAAAGAAGCUCGUCAAAGAUUGCAGCCGGUAGCAACAACAAGAAGCUCUGUGAUGUGUGUGUGGACCCAAGAAGGACAGGAAGACACAGUAAACAUGCAUCAAGUGCAAGAAAUACAUUUGCAACACACACACAGUAAAACUCUGUCCCUCAUGUGCCCCUCCUGGUGUCUCUCUUUUCUCGUCCUCCUGGUUUUGACCUUUGCCUGUCCUGACUCUGAGCCCGCCUGCCUGACCACUCUGCCUGCCCCUGAGCCUGCUUGCCGUCCUGUACCUUUGCCACUACUCUGGAUUAUCGACCCCUGCCUGCCUUGACCUGUCGUUUGCCUGCCCCUGUUGUUGCAAUAAACAUUGUUACUUCAACACGGUCUGCACUUGGGUCUUACCUGAAACUUGAUACAUAAUAUUUUAUGUAAAUUAUAAAUGUAAAAUGUGUCUUUCC